rnacentral:lncRNA from 1 species
ACAAGGUUGGUCAGGCAUGAGUUGCCCUAGGUGAAACUGUGCUGGUUGUCCUGUCUCAUCUUCCAUGUAUCUUAGCAUAGCUUCCAACAGCAUUUGCUCUAUGAUCUUCCCCAGCAGAGAGGUGAGGCUGACAGGAGCCAGAGAGCUAUAGUUUGCACAAGAUACGGAAAUACAGACGUUCCCUGACCACAGUCUGAAGGCAGGUAGCACAUUGCAAAUACAUCUUUACAUGCUGACGAAAUAAAAACAUGUAAGUUUUUAUCCGUG